rnacentral:rRNA from 1 species
UACGUAGGGGGCUAGCGUUGUCCGGAUUUAUUGGGCGUAAAGCGCGCGCAGGCGGCCUGGCAAGUCGGCCGUGAAAUCUCCGGGCUCAACUCGGAGGGGUCGGGCGAGACUGCGAGGCUCGAGGCGGGUAGAGGGCAGUGGAAUUCCGGGUGUAGUGGUGGAAUGCGCAGAUAUCAGGAGGAACACCAAUGGCGAAGGCAGCUCUCUGGGACGGUACUGACGCUGAGACGCGAAAGCGUGGGGAGCGAACAGG